GUCCCUGUAGCGUGACAGAUAGCGUGUUGGACUUCUAAUCCAAAGGUCGAGGGUUCGAAUCCCUCCUGGGAUG